rnacentral:rRNA from 1 species
GACGAACGCUGGCGGCGUGCUUAACACAUGCAAGUCGAACGGAAAGGCCCUGCUUUUGUUGGUUGCUCGAUUGGCGAACGGGUGUGUAACACGUGAGUAACCUGCCCUUGACUUUGGGAUAACUUCUGGAAACUGGGGCUAAUACCCGAUAGGAGCUCCUGCUGCAUGGUGGUGGUUGGAAAGUUUCGGCGGUUGGGUCUUGACUCGCUGCUUAUCAGCUUGUUUGUGGGGUAGUUGCUUACCAAGGGUUUGACGGGUAGCCGGCCUGAGAGGGUUACCGGCGACAAUGGGACUGAGAUACGGACCAGAAUGCUACGGGAGGCAGCAGUGGGGAAUAUUGCAGAAUGGGCGGAAGCCUGAUGAAGAAACGCCGCGUGCGGGAUGACGGCCUUCGGGUUGUAAACCGAUUUGGACUGUGACGAAGAGAGAGUGACGGUAAUGGGUAAAGAAGCACCGGCUAACUACGUG